rnacentral:lncRNA from 1 species
AUGAAACUACUUUGCACAGCCUUCUAUCCAUGAUUCAUGAAUUGAUCAUAAUUCGAACUAUCUUGUCGUUAAUUUGCUUUUUUACCCUAAUUCGUGUUUGUGGUUAGCCAACGUGACAGGCUGGCCAUGAAUGACACAUAUAUCGACUUGCACGUCUCCAAACCUUUAAUGCUCACAAUUUGCGUACAACAAGAGGAUUUUCCUACUUAUAGGCGAGUAACCAACUUUCUAGUUGCUAAUUGCAUUAAGUACAUACAUUCAUAGAUCAACUUAGAAUGGGGUUCAUGAAACUGUUUUAAAAUUAUCGACAGUUUUCUAAAUAAAUGCACCUUCCGCAUUUUAAACAUUGAUCAUGGCACUUCUCUGUGUUUGGUCAGAAGAAAUUAGAGGAGAGAAGAUAAAUAGAAGAGUGCUGCUAUUUGCCCCGAAAUCGCGCCCCGAAAUCGCACCUCGAAAUUAAAACGCACCGUUUGUUCUGAGUUAAUCACGUGUCUUGCUUUAUAAAGGAAAAAGUUGGGGAAAGAAAAAGCAAAAGUUGUUUCUUCACGUUUCUUCAGUCAAACACGUGGGCCUAACUUGUUAAAAAGUUGGGGAAAGAAAAAGCAAAAACAACGUUUCUUUGUUAUUUCCUUUGAAAUUUUGUCUCCACACGUGUUGUCCAAUUUUGUCUUCACUUUCCAUUUCACUUCUCUAGUUAGCAGCACUCUGAGCUUUCACUUUCCUGUUGUCAAAUUUUGUCUUCACUUUCCAUUUCACUUCUCUAGUUAGCAGCACUCUGAGCUUUCACUUUCCAUUUCACUUUCCCGUAAAGCAAGGUAAACAUUUUGCUUUCACUUUUCAUUUCUCUUUCCAGUUAGCAGCACUCUUUUUCUUCAGGCAGAUUCGUCACUUAAGUCAUUCAGAUCUGAACUCAACUCUUGUUCGAUGGUUCGUUCUCUUGCUCUCGUUCAAUUUUCAUUAUUGUGUUUGAUGCAUGUAUCAUCAUCUGAUGGGUGGUUUUUAUGCUGGCUUCUUGUGGUAGAGGUAGCUUUAUUUAUUUAAUUAUUUUUGGUUAAUUGAAUUAGUUAUCGAGUCGGAUACUGUGGGUGUGGUUGCUAUAACAUUUUGUAAAUUACAAAAAUUAAAUUGGACAGAUUUUACAUAUUUCGCUUGCUAUCAAGUCGGAUACUGGAUUUGGAUGUUUGGAAUGAUGAAUAUCGGUUGUGCUUUGCUGCUACUGUGCUUAGAUCCUUAAUUAUCUGUGUUAUGCUUGUUUUGGUCAUUUCUUCUGGGGAGGUGGUGUUCUGUUUCUUCAGGGUUGAAACAGAGGGUUGCUUGGUGUUUGGUUAUGAACAUAGUGAUUUUUUGUUUGACUUACUCUUGCUUCUUCUAUUUUUUAUUAAUUUUUUAUUAUUUAAAAAUGUUUAGAUUGGUAUGUUUUUGAUGUAUGCCUGAAUUGAUUGGCUUAUUUGAGUUUGAUUAAAAUGCUAAAUAAAUGGUGGAAGCAAGGAAUUGAAAAUUUGAUGAUAGUUUGUUAUUAUUGUAGGAACUUGAUGUAGUUAUAUUUUAAUGGACGAAUAUUGCUUCAGUACAUGAAUCAUUAUGGGCAACAGAUACCAUGCUUGUUUAGCAACAUGAGCAACCAAUCUCGAGAGAGCUUUUCUCAUGUUUCUAUUUUAUUUUCCUUCAGCCCUAGGAAUUGGACACUUUGACACCCUGGGAAUUUAAUUUCUGUUUUAUUUGUGUGUAACUGGUGCUGUAAUUGUUGUAUGUUCUAAUUUAUUUUCGAUUUUUUUUCUGUUUCGUAGUUUCGAAAAUCAAUUAACCACAAUGUCAACUAGCACAAGUGAAAUUCGAAACUCACAGCAGCUAUGUAACGGAUGCGGUAAUUACAUGGAGUUAUUAACGUCACGUACAACAAAGAAUCCAAAUCGUAAAUUUUGGCUUUGUAAAAGAUGUAAUAAUUUUCAAUGGGCUGAAGAUCGUAAACCAAGCGAAGAGAAAAUUGAUUUGUUAGUGGAGGAGGUUAGAAAGUUAGCAUUAGAGAUUGAGUGUUUGUCCAUUAAAUUCCAAUUAUUAUAUGAUAACGAACUUCGAAGGAGACAGACACCAAAAUAUGAUUACAUUAAAAUACUUGUAAUUGUUGUGAUAUGUUAUCUAUUCAAGUGUUAUUUUUAAGUUUUAUUAUUUUGUACUAUGUAUUAAUUUGCAAUUGAUUAAUUGAUUAGUUGAUGUCAAUUGUUUCUUUAUCCCAUGGCAAUUUCUAGUUUUGUGAAUUUCCAAGAAAUUUCCUUCGUGUUUUCACUUGUUUAUUUUGGAACUAGCUAAGAAAUUUAUUGACAUAAUGUACAUGCGGAAUUUGAACAUAACGUUCUUGCAUGGCAAAAUCUUCAUACUUGAAAUCGUGACAAAAUUUGACAACAGGAAAGUGAAAUGGAAAGUGAAAGCUCAGAGUGCUGCUAACUAGAGAAGUGAAAUGGAAAGUGAAGACAAAAUUGGACAACACGUGUGGAGACAAAAUUUCAAAGGAAAUAACAAAGAAACGUUGCUUUUGCUUUUUCUUUCCCCAACUUUUUAGCAAGUUAGGCCCACGUGUUUGACUGAAGAAACGUGAAGAAACAGCUUUUGCUUUUUCUUUCCCCAACUUUUUCCUUUAUAAAGCAAGACACGUGAUUAACUCAGAGCAAACGGUGCGUUUUAAUUUCGGGGUGCGAUUUCGGGGCACGAUUUCGGGGCAAAUAGCUUUUUCCUAAAUAGAAAGGAGGGAGUCAGAGAAAAAUAAGGAAAGUCAACAGGUCGUGCAUCAGGAGUUACGGUAUGUGUACAACACUCAUCCAUAUAACGUAGCUAUAGUACGGCAUAGCACAAUCACACUUCAUCAAGGCACGAAGCAUGUCACAGCACACAUGCAGGCUGAGUUGGACUUAAAUUCUUUUGCACGUGGGUUUUAAAGCACAGCAUAAUUUGAGAUGAAAGCACAACAUAAUCUAAGAUGAGUUAAAGUAAUGUGUAUGAAAAAAGUUCGUAAAAAGU